CCCUGGUUAUCAGUAACGGUUAAACAUAAAUCUGAAUAUUAUUUGUUGUUGUUUAUUUGUCAAAAUUAAAUAAGAAUUUCUGUAAAACUUGAAUGUUUAAUUUAUUUUCAGCGGGUUUACCUAUAACUUGAAUGGAUUAUUUUUUUAUUAGAUUAUUAUUGCAAAGUAGUUUAUUUAAUCAAAAUUAUUUUUUAUUAGGUUUCCAAUCUGCCUCUUUUGCCUUUGUCUGAUUCUACAGAUAAAGUUUUAGCUGAUUUAAAAAGUUCUGCGAUGGACUUGAUAGUUUAAAAAAGGUUGGUGGCGGAAAGCCAAGAGAACAUGUUUUUUUGAUCAUGAAAAGGUUAUUUUCAAAUCAGUUACAGUCCAAAUUAAAUCGAAAAGGAAAUGGAGAAAAGAUAAGCUUAGAAAAUCUAGUAAAUAUAUGGAGUGUUUUACGAGAUAUCGGCGACGUGGAAGAAGAUGUUGACGGCAAUGCAGAAAUAUAGUUUCUUAUGUAUAUUUUUGUGAAAUAAAAAUUAAGUAAUGUUAGUUAAAA